UGCUCAAGGUCAUACACUUAGUUAAGUAUCUGCGACCAGAUUUGAAUUCAAGUCUCCCUGACUCCGGAUCCAGCGCUUUGUGCACUGUACCAACUAGGAAUCCAAAUUGCAAGGGAUUUAGAAAUAAGUGGGUGAUUAGAAAGUGGAGGCAGCAAGUACAGAAGAUGGGGAAGAGAUAAUGGGGACUUUAACAGUGACCACAGCAUAAAAUAGUAGAAUGGUCACUGGUUUUGGAAUCACGGGGCUUGCAUUCAAAUCCUAAUUUCUGUUAGCUUUUGCCUAUGUGAUCUUGGAGAAUUCACUUAACCAUUCUGAGCCUCAGUUUCCUCACCUAUAAAAUAAGGAGGUUGAGCUGGGUGGUCUCUUAAGGUUCCUUCUAUAGUUCUAGAUACUAUAAUCACUAUGAAAACCAACCCUUCUAGAGCUAGUGAGAUACAAUCCGUUUUUGCUUCUACAUUAAAUGUCCCCAGAUUACUGUGCUUUUUGAAGUUUUUGUAUCUAGUUUGUAAAAUAGUUUUUCUGUGUUCCUUCUUUUCAGUUCUUCUCCUUUGCUGCAGUACAUCUGCCUUUAGCAACAGCUGCCCCUCCUGGCCUCCUUAAUAUGGGUUUCUCAUCUGCCUUAGCCUGGGAAAUCUCAUGAGCAAACACGUUCAAUUGAUGCCUAUGAGCACUAUUUUUACCAGUUUCCCAGAUGCACUCUCUCCCUACUGCAAUCCAUCCAAUGUUCCUACAAGAUUCCAGCGUAAUCAUCCUACUGCACAGAUGUGAUCAUGUCACCUAACUUCCAAAAAAUCCAUCUGUGGCUCCCUAUUGCCUACUGAAGGGCUUUCGUGUGAAAUCAGUUAAUCAACAAGCAUUUAUUAAGUGCUUACUGUGUAACAGGCAGUGUGAUAGGUAUUGGGGAUUCAAAGACAAAACACAGCCUUGGCUCUGAAGGAACUUGUAUUCUAUAAAGAGAAACAAACUAUGUAAAUGUAAGUAGAUAUAAAAUAUAUACAAGAUAAAUACUAGGUCAUUGGGGAGGAUUGGUGGGAUAAAAGUUGGCAUUAACGGCUGGGGUAAUCAAAAAAAAGUCUCAUUUCAAGGUGGUGCUUGAGUUGAGUUUUAAAGGAGGCUGGGGAUUCCAGGAGGCAGAGAUGAGGAGGAGGACAUUCUAGGUAUGAAGAACAAAGAGAAAGCUAGUCUGGCUGGACCAAAAAGUUCAUGAAGGGGAACAAUGUUAUAAUGAGUCAGGAAAGGUAGACUGGAGCCAGAUUGUAAAGGGUUUUAAGUGACAAAAAGAAGAGUUUUUAUUUGAUCAUAGAGGCAACAGGGAAACUGGAGCUUCUUCGAAAAAAGAGUGACAGUCUGACCUGUGCUUUAGGAAAAUCACUUUGGCAGCUGUAUGCAGGAUAGAUAGGAAAGAUAAGAGACCUGAAAGGCAAAGAGAGAAAGUAGGAGACUUUCACAAUAGUCCAUGUAAGAGCUAUGGAUAGUGUGACCCAGGUGUUGGCUCUGUGACUCUCUCCCUAAGCGUGCCACUCCUCUUGAUUUCCCUGUUUCUGUUGAGGACAUCACCAUCCUUUUAGGAUCAUGGUAUCACAAAUUUAAAGCUAAAAGGAACCUUAGAUAAAAUAUAAUCCAACCUCUUCAUUUUAUAAAUUUUAAAACCAAGGCCUGGAAAUGUUAAAUGAUUUGCCCCAAGGCACACAAGGGUGUAGAUGAAAUUUCCUGUACACAAUUACAACUUUAGUGUCAUCCUCAACUCUUUGGCCUUCCUCACCUCCAAUGUCAAGUCAAGAGACAAGUCUCAUUGACUUUAUCUCCAUGGCAUCUUUCAUUCCCUUCUCUCUGCUCAACAAGUACCCCGGUAUAGCAACCUUUUAUCCCUUUUUGCCUAGACUAUUGCCUCCUAAAUGGUCUCCCUGUUGAUACAUGAGAAAAUAUUAUGAAAAAAAAUUAUUCAAUGUAAUUAAAUGGUCCUAUAUCUAUAAAAACAUACUGACAAAGAGAAAAUUAACAAAGUGAGUGAGAGGCAUCAUGGUAGAGUGGAUGGAGUCCUGGAUUUAGAAGACCUGUAUUCAGAUUCAGUUUAUGACACCAGCUAUGUGACCAUAGGCAAGUUAUGUAAUUUCUCAACCUCAGGAAACUCCCUUCGACUUAUCUAAUAAGUAGGACACAGGUUGUGUUGGUAGAGGGAGUUCCUACAUUGAUAAAAUCAUAAAUCCUUAGUGUAUUGAUGGAUGUAUAAUAAAUUGAGUAUGAUAUUUUAAAAAAAUUAAAAAUUAAAGUAAAAAAUGUUGAUAACUAAAGAAGUAAAUAAAAUUAAAUAUCGUUGAACUGAUGAGACAAAAUUGAGAAAUUGUUAGUGAAUGUUACAAAAAAACAAAUGAAAAUGGAAAAUGUCAAUUUAUAAUACAAAAAAGGAAAAAAUAUCAGAAAGUACUAUGCAAUUAUAAGCCUAUAAAAGUGAGAAUUUAAUGAAAAUAAACAUUUACAAAAAUAUAGAAUGUAUCAAAAUGGGAAAAAGGAAUAUUAUGCAACCUUAUAUCAGAAAAGACAUAAAGCAAUCCAUAAACAGACUACUAAAAAAAAAAUUCAUCAGAUUGAUUUAUAAGUAUAUCAUAUCAAAAAUUUAAAGUGCAAGUUAUUACCUGUGCUAUUCAAAUUGCUCUCAGUGACCAUGAGAGAAAUACACUAUUGAAAUCCUCUUAUGACUCAAAUGUGAUUCUGAUACCCAAACUAGUAAGCAAGAAAGCAGAGAAAGAUAAUAAAAGAUAACUAUUGCUAAUUAAAAUGAAUGCAAAUAAAUAAAAUUUUAGCCAACACAUUAAAACUAUAUCAAAAAUCAUUAUUUGCAAGUUUGUUUUAUACCAAGGAUAAUUCAACAUUAGAUAAAUAAUUAGCGUAGUUAUAUAAAAAUGGCCAAAACUAUGCAAUUUUAUUAUCAAACACAGGAAAAGCCUCUGAGACAGCACAGCACUCUAAGAUCAAAAAAGCAUAAUGAGGUAAGGAUCCUUCUUUAAUAUGACCAAAAAUGUAUUCUUUUGAAACCCAAAGGCCAUUACUUGCAACAAUGAAACAUUAGAAACUUUCUCAAUAGGUAGUAAACCAAGGGUGUCCCUUCCUUUUUGCCACUAAUUUUGGUAUCAUCCUAGACAUGCUAAUAAUGGUAAUAAUACAAGAAAAAUAAAGGCAAAGAGAAGAAAAAUACCUAUGUCCCAAUAAGAAGAUAGUUUUCUUAGGAAAAACCCUUGAGAAUUAGUCAAGAAAUUAAUCAGAAUCAAUAGUUUCAUAGAGUAGCAGGUUACAAAAUCAUAAAAAUCAUCAUAUUACUAAAAAAAAAUAGGAGUAAACAAAUUUCAUUCAAAAUUUCUCCAAAAUGCAUUUUCUACUGGGACAUAGACAUUCAUCACCUGCAGUCCUUGUGAGAUGGAGGACUACCAGGCUUUGCCAUUUACCCUAUCAUCUCCAGCCCCCCAGGCACUGCCAUUUAUCCUUCUAAUGCUCCCUAAGACCUCCCCAGUACUUGCAAUCCACCCCACAGUUACUUCUAUAAAAUAUCUGGCCCUUCCUUUCUAUUGGCCCUGCAGGUGAAUUCUCUUGAAUGUGUUGACUCCUUCUACUGAAGUGUGAAUUCCUUGAGAGCAGGGAAUGUCUUGAUUUUUCUCUUUGAAUCCCCAGCUUUUAGCACAUUGCUUGGCACAUUAAGUAAGUGCUUAAUAAACAAGUUUUUAAAGGAACAAUAAUAUGGAUGAAGAAUUCAGAGAACUAUAGGAAGACAUUUAUGAACUGAUGCAAAGUGAAGAAGAUACAAGAGAAGUAUGGGCUAAAUGGCUCUAAUAACAAAGAGAGAACGCUAAAAAAAAUUCAGAUAAAAUGUAAUGGCCAAUGUUGAUGCUAGGUGGAUGGUAUUGGAACACACUUCUUUCUUUUCUCUGUAAAGAGGUGGUAGAUGGCAUGUGGAAUGUUAUAUUAUCAGGAGUGAUUGUUAUAUUGGAUAGUUUUGCCCAA